AUUGAACGCUGGCGGCAUGCCUUAAACAUGCAAGUCGAACGGCAGCACGGGAGCAAUCCUGGUGGCGAGUGGCGAACGGGUGAGUAAUAUAUCGGAACGUGCCCAGUCGUGGGGGAUAACGUAGCGAAAGCUACGCUAAUACCGCAUACGACCUACGGAUGAAAGCGGGGGAUCGCAAGACCUCGCGCGAUUGGAGCGGCCGAUAUCAGAUUAGGUAGUUGGUGAGGUAAAGGCUCACAAAGCCGACGAUCUGUAGCUGGGCUGAGAGGACGACCAGCCACACUGGGACUGAGACACGGCACAGACUCCUACGGGAGGCAGCAGUGGGGAAUUUUGGACAAUGGGCGCAAGCCUGAUCCAGCAAUGCCGCGUGCAGGAUGAAGGCCUUCGGGUUGUAAACUGCUUUUGUACGGAGCGAAAAGGCUUCCACUAAUACUGGGGGCUCAUGACGGUACCGUAAGAAUAAGCACCGGCUAACUACGUGCCAGCAGCCGCGGUAA
rnacentral:rRNA from 1 species